CUUUCAUGAUGGACUUUAAGGAAAAAGUAGGUCAGAGAUUUAUAUUCUCCUCAAGCCUUACCCAGUAUAAUUGAAUCGAUGGGCUUGUAAUUUUUUUCAGAUGCCAUUACAUCUCCUUGGAACUGCUCUUUGUAAAUUGUAAAUUGACAGCUCAAUCUUCUUGUCAGGUUCUGAAAGCAUAUAUCCUCAGACUAUUCCAGAAAGUAUCUGGGAACUCUAUUACAAAGGAGCCAGGCAAUCACGGGAAAGUCCUUCUAGAACAAGGCUCCCUGCCAUUGCUUUCCACAUAGAACUCUGGUGUACCUGCUGGUCCCAGGUGGGUGGGACUUACAGCCUGGGAGCUGCUCUGUCCAUGCAGAGGUAAACAGCACUUGCAUCUGAUAAGAGGUCUGGCCACCCAACUGUAGGCUUUUCAGGUUUCUAAUGCCUGAGAGACAAUAUGCAUUUUUACUGAAAGUUGCUUCACAAUAAGGUUAACUCUAAAGAAGACUGGGACACAUGUGAUUUUUAUCAUUGUGCCUUAGGCUGUCAUGCCGAAGGAAGACAUUAUUAUUUACAGGUAAGUACACUAAGUCUUACCGAAGUCAAUCCAGUCCUCAGAGCCAAUAAAC
rnacentral:lncRNA from 1 species